CAAAACCCUAAUCAGUGGCGGCUCUGCCCGUAAAACCCUAGUCAGCCGCAUGUACAUCUAUGAGCUGUAUUACAGCUCUGGCGGAGCCUCCUUACCUUUUUCGACAAUGGCAGGCGUUACGAGUAAGGAGCGAAAACUCCUUUAUCUCUUUCUCAAUUGAACCUACAUUUGAAGAUCUUCCUCUAUGCGGAUUCAAUAUUUAGAGGAUUCAUCACUGUCUAAAUACUAACUGAUGAAUCCUCUAAUACUAAAUCCAACUUAGUUGUUUAGCGCGGGGUAUAGAGGAGCUUCGAGUCUCUGUAUAAUGUGUUUGGUUUACAACGAAGCUCACGGAAUCGGACGGAUACGGCGCCGUCAUAUGUCUCCAACAGAACUGCUUGACUCUGUAUUAUGAUUCACUAUCCGAAGGCAGGCGCUGAGUAGAUUGCAUUAGAAGCAAGAAAUGUCUAUGAUUUAUGGAUAGUAGAAUAGAAGAUUCUUUAUGGCACCAACUCACGCUGGGAAGUGUAGUGUGUUCCACAAGACCUCCAUUGCGUAGUACAUUACAUCUAUACUUUCUGUAUAAGGUUAUUCUGUAAUUAUGUUUUUACAUUUAUUAGAGUGAACAGUGCAAAUAGGAAACAUGGAUUCAGAACGUUUUCCUAUUCUCCUGGUGAUAUUAGUGGUGCUGAAAUUAAGUACUCCCUCCGUUUCAAUUUAUAUGAACCUAUUUGACUGGUCAUGUAAUUUAAGAAAAGAGAGAAUAAUUUUGAACCAGUGGUGUGAAAUGAGUUGCAUAUAUAUUGUGUGGCUAUAA